rnacentral:rRNA from 1 species
CUCUGGGUCCAACCUCCCACCCGUGUUUAUUUUACCUUGUUGCUUCGGCGGGCCCGCCUUAACUGGCCGCCGGGGGGCUUACGCCCCCGGGCCCGCGCCCGCCGAAGACACCCUCGAACUCUGUCUGAAGAUUGUAGUCUGAGUGAAAAUAUAAAUUAUUUAAAACUUUCAACAACGGAUCUCUUGGUUCCGGCAUCGAUGAAGAACGCAGCGAAAUGCGAUACGUAAUGUGAAUUGCAAAUUCAGUGAAUCAUCGAGUCUUUGAACGCACAUUGCGCCCCCUGGUAUUCCGGGGGGCAUGCCUGUCCGAGCGUCAUUGCUGCCCUCAAGCACGGCUUGUGUGUUGGGCCCCGUCCUCCGAUCCCGGGGGACGGGCCCGAAAGGCAGCGGCGGCACCGCGUCCGGUCCUCGAGCGUAUGGGGCUUUGUCACCCGCUCUGUAGGCCCGGCCGGCGCUUGCCGAUCAACCCAAAUUUUUAUCCAGGUUGACCUCGGAUCAGGUAGGGAUACCCGCUGAACUUAAGCAUAUCAAUAAGCGGAGGAA